UACAGAGGCCCCAAGCAUUAUCCGGAAUCACUGGGUGUAAAGGGUGUCGAGGCGGUCAUGUUAGUCGUUCGUGAAAUCCGCGGGCUUAACCUGCGGCGUGCGAGCGAAACGGCAUGACUUGAGGUUGGGAGAGGUAUGUGGAACUCACGGUGUAGGGGUGAAAUACGUUGAUAUCGUGGGGAACACCAAAGGCGAAGGCAGCAUACUGGCCCAAAUCUGACGCUCACACACGAAAGCUAGGGUAGCGAACGGG
rnacentral:rRNA from 1 species